rnacentral:misc_RNA from 1 species
GUCGCCGAGUAUCAGCAGUACCAGGAUGCAACUGCAGAUGAAGAGUAUGAAGAUGAAGAAGAGGAAAUCCCUGCUUGAGCCACCGUCCCCGGCAACUACCUUGGUUUGUCCGAAAUGGUAACGUUGUUGUUGAGUUUUAUUGUUUAAGUUUGUGAUGGUCAUGAUGAUGAUGAUGGUGUUGUUUCCUAUUCUCCAGCAGUUUGUAGAAUUUUACAUGUUUUGAGUAUGGAGUGAGUGAGGGUUCAUGUAAUGUAAUCAGAGCUGG